rfam:Schistosoma haematobium scaffold293_42, whole genome shotgun sequence.
AUCUAGCUAACGAGUCCCAAAUAGGACGAAACGCGCGUUCUGGAU